CGGGAUGUGGCGCAGUCUGGCAGCGCACUUGGCUGGGGGCCAAGGGGCCGUCGGUUCGAAUCCGACCAUCCCGA
rnacentral:tRNA from 1 species